AUUGAACGCUGGCGGCAGGCCUAACACAUGCAAGUCGAGCGAGUGGGGACGGGUGAGUAACACGUGGGUAACCUCCCAUCAGAGGGGAUAACACUUGGAAACAGGUGCUAAACCGAUACUGAUGGAUGGACCCGCGGUGCAUUAGCUAGUUGGUGAGGUAACGGCUCACCAAGGCCACGAUGCAUAGCCGACCUGGGGGGGUGAUCGACCACACUGGGACUGUGACGCGGCCGAAACUCCAACGGGAGGCGGCAGUAGGGAAUCUUCGGCAAUGGACGAAAGUCUACCCGAGCAACGCCGCGUGAGUGAGGAAGGUUUUCGGAUCGUAAGACUCUGUUGUUAGAGAGGCGGUAUCUAACCAGAAAGCCACGGCUAACUACGUGCCAGCAGCCGCGGUAAUUC
rnacentral:rRNA from 1 species